GAAUCCUACGGGGGGCAGCAGUGGGGAAUAUUGCACAAUGGGGGAAACCCUGAUGCAGCGACGCCGCGUGAGUGAAGAAGUAUUUCGGUAUGUAAAGCUCUAUCAGCAGGGAAGAAAAUGACGGUACCUGGCUAAGAAGCCCCGGCUAACUACGUGCCAGCAGCCGCGGUAAUACGUAGGGGGCAAGCGUUAUCCGGAUUUACUGGGUGUAAAGGGUGCGUAGGUGGCAGGGCAAGUCAGAUGUGAAAGCCC
rnacentral:rRNA from 1 species